CGGCUCAGUAACACGUGGACAACUUACCCUCAGGACAGGUAUAAACCCGGGAAACUGGGUAUAAUCCCUGAUAGUCCUCGACUGCUGGAAUGCACCGAGGCCGAAAGCUCCGGCGCCUGAGGAUGGGUCUGCGGCCUAUCAGGUAGUAGUGGGUCUAAAGUACCUACUAGCCUACGACGGGUACGGGUUGUGAGAGCAAGAGCCCGGAGAUGGAUUCUGAGACACGAAUCCAGGCCCUACGGGGUGCAGCAGGCGCGAAAACUUUACAAUGCCGGCAACGGCGAUAAGGGGACCUCGAGUGCCAGGUUACAAAUCUGGCUGUCGUGAUGCCUAAAAAAAGCAUUGCAUAGCAAGGGCCGGGCAAGACCGGUGCCAGCCGCCGCGGUAACACCGGCGGCUCGAGUGGUAACCGUUAUUAUUGGGUCUAAAGGGUCUGUAGCCGGCCGGAUAAGUCUCUUGGGAAAUCCAGCAGCUCAACUGUUGGGCUUCCAGGAGAUACUGUCUGGCUCGAGGCCGGGAGAGGUGAGAGGUACUUCAGGGGUAGGGGUGAAAUCUUGUAAUCCUUGAAGGACCACCAGUGGCGAAGGCGUCUCACCAGAACGGACCUGACGGCAAGGGACGAAAGCUAGGGGCACGAACCGGAUUAGAUACCCGGGUAGUCCUAGCCG
rnacentral:rRNA from 1 species